rnacentral:rRNA from 2 species
UGGUGCUUGCAUCAUGAUUUACAUUUGAGUGAGUGGCGAACUGGUGAGUAACACGUGGGAAACCUGCCCAGAAGCGGGGGAUAACACCUGGAAACAGAUGCUAAUACCGCAUAACAACUUGGACCGCAUGGUCCGAGCUUGAAAGAUGGCUUCGGCUAUCACUUUUGGAUGGUCCCGCGGCGUAUUAGCUAGAUGGUGGGGUAACGGCUCACCAUGGCAAUGAUACGUAGCCGACCUGAGAGGGUAAUCGGCCACAUUGGGACUGAGACACGGCCCAAACUCCUACGGGAGGCAGCAGUAGGGAAUCUUCCACAAUGGACGAAAGUCUGAUGGAGCAACGCCGCGUGAGUGAAGAAGGGUUUCGGCUCGUAAAACUCUGUUGUUAAAGAAGAACAUAUCUGAGAGUAACUGUUCAGGUAUUGACGGUAUUUAACCAGAAAGCCACGGCUAACUACGUGCCAGCAGCCGCGGUAAUACGUAGGUGGCAAGCGUUGUCCGGGAUUUAUUGGGCGUAAAGCGAGCGCAGGCGGUUUUUUAAGUCUGAUGUGAAAGCCUUUCGGCUCAACCGAAGAAGUGCAUCGGAAACUGGGAAACUUGAGUGCAGAAGAGGACAGUGGAACUCCAUGUGUAGCGGUGAAAUGCGUAGAUAUAUGGAAGAACACCAGUGGCGAAGGCGGCUGUCUGGUCUGUAACUGACGCUGAGGCUCGAAAGUAUGGGUAGCAAACAGGAUUAGAUACCCUGGUAGUCCAUACCGUAAACGAUGAAUGCUAAGUGUUGGAGGGUUUCCGCCCUUCAGUGCUGCAGCUAACGCAUUAAGCAUUCCGCCUGGGGAGUACGGCCGCAAGGCUGAAACUCAAAGGAAUUGACGGGGGCCCGCACAAGCGGUGGAGCAUGUGGUUUAAUUCGAAGCUACGCGAAGAACCUUACCAGGUCUUGACAUACUAUGCAAAUCUAAGAGAUUAGACGUUCCCUUCGGGGACAUGGAUACAGGUGGUGCAUGGUUGUCGUCAGCUCGUGUCGUGAGAUGUUGGGUUAAGUCCCGCAACGAGCGCAACCCUUAUUAUCAGUUGCCAGCAUUAAGUUGGGCACUCUGGUGAGACUGCCGGUGACAAACCGGAGGAAGGUGGGGAUGACGUCAAAUCAUCAUGCCCCUUAUGACCUGGGCUACACACGUGCUACAAUGGAUGGUACAACGAGUUGCGAACUCGCGAGAGUAAGCUAAUCUCUUAAAGCCAUUCUCAGUUCGGAUUGUAGGCUGCAACUCGCCUACAUGAAGUCGGAAUCGCUAGUAAUCGCGGAUCAGCAUGCCGCGGUGAAUACGUUCCCGGGCCUUGUACACACCGCCCGUCACACCAUGAGAGUUUGUAACACCCAAAGUCGGUGGGGUAA